GCCUUUGGGGUAGGGUUAAAUUCCCAACCGGCGGUAUAGUCCGCGAGCGUAAGCACGAACCGGUGUAAUUCCGGUACCGACAGUAAAGUCUGGAUGAGAAAAGGCA
rnacentral:ncRNA from 1 species